rnacentral:rRNA from 1 species
CCCUUAGAUGUUCUGGGCCGCACGCGUGCUACACUGAUGCAUUCAACGAGUCUAAAACCUGGUCUGAUAGGGCUGGGUAAUCUUUUGAAAGUGCAUCGUGAUUGGGAUAGAUGAUUGCAAUUCUUCAUCUUCAACGAGGAAUGCCUAGUAAACGCAAGUCAUCAGCUUGCAUUGAUUACGUCCCUGCCCUUUGUACACACCGCCCGUCGCUCCUACCGAUUGAGUGGUCCGGUGAGGCUUUGGGAUCUGGGCGGAAAGAGCGUUUCGCUGUUUCUGCUCGGAAAACUCAGUCGAACCUUAUCAUUUAGAGGAAGGAGAAGUCGUAACA